rnacentral:misc_RNA from 1 species
GACGGAGGGGGCUAGCGUUGUUCGGAAUCACUGGGCGUAAAGCGCGCGUAGGCGGCUUAUCAAGUUGGGCGUGAAAGCCCGGGGCUCAACCCCGGAAAUGCGCCCAAAACUGGUAGGCUUGAGACCGAGAGAGGGUGGUGGAAUUCCCAGUGUAGAGGUGAAAUUCGUAGAUAUUGGGAAGAACACCAGUGGCGAAGGCGGCCACCUGGCUCGGAUCUGACGCUGAGGCGCUAAAGCAUGAGGAGCAAACAGG